UUCCUGAUUCAUGUUGCAAAGGGAAAAUCUUGAAGUUUGUCUGAAUCCAGCUUCACAAAACAAGCAAUACUGGAAGUUCAUACCUCUGGAAUGCCAUUUAUGUGCAGAAAUUAGCUCCUUUAAAAACAGCAGGAAAAAGGAAGAAUAGAACAAAAUCAUAUCUGUAAUUUAAGCUAAUUUCUAACUCAAAUAAGAUGGCAAAAGAGUCUGUGGAACACCUGAUUCAUCAGCUGAGCUGUAUUUAAAAGAGGAAAGCCAGAGAGGGGAUCAUCAGAUUAUCUCUCAAGAAAAUCUGCGUCUGUCUGGAAGAAUAUUUGCAUUAAGAUAAAGCCAACUUUACAAAAAAAAGAAAAAAAGGAAA